rnacentral:rRNA from 1 species
AGAGUUUGAUCAUGGCUCAGAUUGAACGCUGGCGGCAGGCCUAACACAUGCAAGUCGAGCGGUAGCACAGAGAGCUUGCUCUCGGGUGACGAGCGGCGGACGGGUGAGUAAUGUCUGGGAAACUGCCUGAUGGAGGGGGAUAACUACUGGAAACGGUAGCUAAUACCGCAUAACGUCGCAAGACCAAAGUGGGGGACCUUCGGGCCUCAUGCCAUCAGAUGUGCCCAGAUGGGAUUAGCUAGUAGGUGGGGUAACGGCUCACCUAGGCGACGAUCCCUAGCUGGUCUGAGAGGAUGACCAGCCACACUGGAACUGAGACACGGUCCAGACUCCUACGGGAGGCAGCAGUGGGGAAUAUUGCACAAUGGGCGCAAGCCUGAUGCAGCCAUGCCGCGUGUGUGAAGAAGGCCUUCGGGUUGUAAAGCACUUUCAGCGGGGAGGAAGGCGUUAAGGUUAAUAACCUUGGCGAUUGACGUUACCCGCAGAAGAAGCACCGGCUAACUCCGUGCCAGCAGCCGCGGUAAUACGGAGGGUGCAAGCGUUAAUCGGAAUUACUGGGCGUAAAGCGCACGCAGGCGGUCUGUCAAGUCGGAUGUGAAAUCCCCGGGCUCAACCUGGGAACUGCAUUCGAAACUGGCAGGCUAGAGUCUUGUAGAGGGGGGUAGAAUUCCAGGUGUAGCGGUGAAAUGCGUAGAGAUCUGGAGGAAUACCGGUGGCGAAGGCGGCCCCCUGGACAAAGACUGACGCUCAGGUGCGAAAGCGUGGGGAGCAAACAGGAUUAGAUACCCUGGUAGUCCACGCCGUAAACGAUGUCGAUUUGGAGGUUGUGCCCUUGAGGCGUGGCUUCCGGAGCUAACGCGUUAAAUCGACCGCCUGGGGAGUACGGCCGCAAGGUUAAAACUCAAAUGAAUUGACGGGGGCCCGCACAAGCGGUGGAGCAUGUGGUUUAAUUCGAUGCAACGCGAAGAACCUUACCUGGUCUUGACAUCCACAGAACUUUCCAGAGAUGGGUUGGUGCCUUCGGGAACUGUGAGACAGGUGCUGCAUGGCUGUCGUCAGCUCGUGUUGUGAAAUGUUGGGUUAAGUCCCGCAACGAGCGCAACCCUUAUCCUUUGUUGCCAGCGGUUAGGCCGGGAACUCAAAGGAGACUGCCAGUGAUAAACUGGAGGAAGGUGGGGAUGACGUCAAGUCAUCAUGGCCCUUACGACCAGGGCUACACACGUGCUACAAUGGCAUAUACAAAGAGAAGCGACCUCGCGAGAGCAAGCGGACCUCAUAAAGUAUGUCGUAGUCCGGAUUGGAGUCUGCAACUCGACUCCAUGAAGUCGGAAUCGCUAGUAAUCGUAGAUCAGAAUGCUACGGUGAAUACGUUCCCGGGCCUUGUACACACCGCCCGUCACACCAUGGGAGUGGGUUGCAAAAGAAGUAGGUAGCUUAACCUUCGGGAGGGCGCUUACCACUUUGUGAUUCAUGACUGGGGUGAAGUCGUAACAAGGUAACCGUAGGGGAACCUGCGGUUGGAUCACCU